GGAAGAAUGGUCUAGCUGAUAAAAUGCUGGGCUGGGAACCCAGGAGGCCCGGGUUUAGUUCCCACUUCUGCCA
rnacentral:tRNA from 1 species